rnacentral:rRNA from 1 species
UACGAGGGGGGCAAGCGUUGUUCGGAAUUAUUGGGCGUAAAGGGCGCGUAGGCGGCGCUGUAAGUCGGGUGUGAAAUUUCGGAGCUUAACUCCGAAACUGCAUUCGAUACUGCGGUGCUUGAGGACUGGAGAGGAGACUGGAAUUCAUGGUGUAGCAGUGAAAUGCGCAGAUAUCAGGAGGAACACCAGCGGCGAAGGCGGCGCUCUGGGCCGGUACUGACGCUGAGGAGCGAAAGCGUGGGGAGCAAACAGG